CGCCUAUCAAAGCAUGUUUCUUCUGUCAUAAGCUUUUAUUUUACUUCGUCAUGAAGCUGUGAAAAAAGCCAUCUCGGUAUGAGCUUUCGAGAUUUAAACCAACCAUUUUCAUGAAUAAAUUAGUUGCUUCAGUUCUGUUGGGCCGUAUCAUAUAACAAAGAACAGAACAAAAUAGAAGUUUCUCUACCAAUGUUGUAAUUGUCUUGAGUAAAUGGAAGUUAAGAUAAAUGAGAAUCCUUGAGGCAAACACAAAUUAAAAAAUCAGCCACCGCAAUCCUCAAUGUCCGUUGUUCCUCUCUCUAUGGCCAGGCAUUAAAACCAAAACAGCCUAACCAGCCCACAUUAAAGCAAAAAUGGAAAACACGACAUCCUCUAUUGUAGAAUUAAGAAAAAUAUGCUCUCCGGGGAUAGAUUGGUUCACCUUGAGGUACAGAAUAAUUCGAACUCCUACAAAACAUUACAUUGUUUGCUUUAGUAUAUGACCCGUUCAAUCUGAAAAGUAUUCAAAAUUUUCAUCCAAAUCCUUGCAAUUCUUCCUACUGUGUUGAGCUUGUAACAGUGAUAUUAGUAUAAGAAUUUUAUUCUCUUUCUCUAGCUAGAAAUCUCCAAUCUGAAGUUUCAAGACACUGAUCAAAGUAUAUUAUGUCAGAAAAGAAACUCAUUCCACUAUGGAUAUAAUUAUUUGGCUCACACUUGUGAAUCAAGCAAGGAAGGAAGCGAACCUGAUGGUGUUGGUGUAUUGCGGCUCAGGCCAGUGUGCUCGACUUGCCGCUGCGUGUUGUUGGCUUCGCGCCACAAGACUCACCAUGUCCUGACCAGUGCAACACAUAUAAGAUCACCCUCAUAACCCAAGAGAAGUAGGGAAGUAUGUAACUAACAAAAAAACAGAUGUAGCAAGUGCAAGGUAGGCUUAGUGGUGCUUAGAGCUUACUUCAACUUUAUACCAAAGGAUGUACACCGGUCAUCUUCCUCGCUGGUCCCAGACAUUGCCGCAUGCCACCCUUCGAGAAGACAGUAGAGGGAUGAUUCUUCAACUGAAGAUGAAGAAAUGAAGGAAGAGCAAAAAUUUACCUGAGCAUUGGACCGGCGUCAUUCAUGGAUGGAGCUUGGAGGAACCCUCUUCUCCACUUCUCUCGAUCCACUGCCGCUAUUACUGCCUCGCACCAUGCAUCCGAGC
rnacentral:lncRNA from 1 species